GGCUUAACUGGGAGAGGCCGUUCAAUACUCCGGGGCUCGAGGACAGCAGAGGGGGGUGGAAUUUCCGGUGUAGUGGUGAAAUGCGUAGAUAUCGGAAGGAACACCAGUGGCGAAGGCGGCCCCCUGGGCUGCUCCUGACGCUGAAGGCGAAAGCUAGGGUAGCGAACGGGAUUAGAAACCCCGGUAGUCCUAGCCGUAAACGAUGGAUACUAGGUGUAGGAGGUUAAAACUCCUUCUGUGCCGGAGCUAACGCGUUAAGUAUCCCGCCUGGGGAGUACGGUCGCAAGGCUAAAACUCAAAGGAAUUGACGGGGGCCCGCACAAGCAGCGGAGCGUGUGGUUUAAUUCGAUGCAACGCGAAGAACCUUACCAGGGCUUGACAUGUAGGUAGUAGUGAAGCGAAAGCGGAACGAUCCUUCGGGAAGCCUACACAGGUGCUGCAUGGCUGUCGUCAGCUCGUGCCGUGAGGUGUUAGGUUAAGUCCUGUAACGAGCGCAACCCCUGCCGUUAGUUACAAGUGUCUAACGGGACUGCCCGGCCCCACUGGGAGGAAGGUGGGGAUGACGUCAAGUCAGCAUGGCCUUUAUGUCCUGGGCUACACACACGCUACAAUGGCCGGUACAAUGGGUUGCCAAGCCGCGAGGCGGAGCCAAUCCUCUAAAGCCGGUCUCAGUUCGAAUUGUAGGCUGCAACCCGCAUGCAUGAAGUUGGAGUUGCUAGUAACCGCAGUCACGCCACACUGCGGUGAAUACGUUCCCGGGCAUUGACACACCGCCCGUCACGUCAUGGAAGCUGGUAACAC
rnacentral:rRNA from 1 species